rnacentral:lncRNA from 1 species
CCCUAGUACAGUAUAAUGCCCUGAUCCAUGAGAAGAGUAGAACCCAAUAUUACAGGAGAACAAAACACACAAUCGAUAAUGUUCAUUGUCAGACAGGAGCCACCCAUGUGGCAGAUACCCAGCUCAUGUGGCAGCCUGCUGUGCCAUGAUGGCCCAGCUCUAUCUGACCAGCUCUGCUAUUCUCCAGGCUGCAUUUUGGCCCCUGACAUGGAAGAAGGCUCCUGCUUAUUGGAAUCAAGAAGGUACAUGGAGACCAAAGGAUGCGGGUGGAAGUUUCCGCCUUCGGCAAUUGGGAUUUGUGAUUCUUGUCAAUGAGAACAAAGAGAAGACCGGGUCGAUUUCGCCCACUUCCCAGAGCCAGCCGUAAUUCAUCAUCUAAGAACCACGUUACUUAGAGGAGGCAGCCAGGGGUGGGGGGACAGAUUCUGCUACUACUCUGAUUUGCUGCACUGCCCCAGGGCUGUACCCUGCAGAAUGCACCCGCUGCUGGAGGGAGCCCCACACCCGUCUAUCAGUGUAUCGCUAGGGGUCAGCGGGGAUGUGGUGACCCAGCAGUGAACUGGCCCCACAAUUCAUUAAACAGCCACCUUGAAAUCCACAGCGCCAGCCAACUAAUAGGGCUUGGGGCCAUCAUCAGUUCAUUGGAAAAUGACAUCUUCCUGGAGGCAGAAACCGGCUUCUCCAUCAUCCUGAGAACAGAAGGCUUGAAGGAGGGCCAGACACCUGGGCCUGGAGGCAUCUGUCAUGCCACACCAAAUCAC